rnacentral:rRNA from 1 species
AAUGAACGCUGGCGGCAGGCCUAACACAUGCAAGUCGAACGGGUCCUUCGGGACUAGUGGCGGACGGGUGAGUAACGCGUGGGAACAUACCCUUUGGUACGGAAUAGCCUCGGGAAACUGGGUGUAAUACCGUAUGAGCUCGCAAGAGGAAAGAUUUAUCGCCAAAGGGAUUGGGCCCGCGUUGGAUUAGGUAGUUGGUGGGGUAAUGGCCUACCAAGCCGACGAUCCAUAGCUGGUUUGAGAGGAUGAUCAGCCACACUGGGACUGAGACACGGCCCAGACUCCUACGGGAGGCAG